ACUCACCAUUCUCAACUUUAUCUCCUCUCUCCAUUCCUUGGAAUUAGAUGCAAUUUAUGGGUAGAUGUAUCUAUUACCUCCUCUUGAUAUUCCUGGCUUCUUUGUAAACCAUAACAUGCAUGUUCUUCUGUAUGAGGUCCCCCAUUUACUAUUGUACCACUUCUCUAAAUUGCCUGGAAUUGACUUGGGUUUCCUUGUCUUCACUUUGAGGAGGUUGGCCCAAGUAAUGUCUAAAGUCCCUUCUAGCUCUGAGCAUUCUAUACCUGUGUGCUUCCCAGGCAGAUAACAUAAUAGUGAAGAUAGCCAGCUCCUUUUAUCACAGUAACAAGACAACAGGAACACAUUCUCCAGAUGUACUGGAGACAAAACUUUGAAUAAUCUAAUUGAACUGUACCAAAUACCAGAAGUCAAAUUUUAAACACUUGUAUAAACUCCACAUUCACACCAUUCUUAUCAGAAGGUUGUCAGCAUGGUAUUUUAUAGAUUACAUUAAAGAGAAUGUCAGUUCUCCGGAAAGUACAGGGUUUAUUUGUUUUUAGCCUGUAGAAAUAAAUGAAAACUUUCAGAUCAUUGAAGCUACAAAUGGGAUCAAGAAAUGCAUUUAUUCAACUAAAGCUCACUAGCUAAUACAUUCCAAACUUAUAGCCACACCCAAAUGCAGCUCUAGCCAAGGCAGAUAUUAAAAGGUAUCACACUUUGGCCAAGGCAUUCAGUUAUCUAUAAAACUAUUCUAAGGCCCUGACCCAUUUCCAUUUUCUGAGACAAAGCUUGAGCCCCCGUGACUUUUGUUCUCAUAUGUUAUUUUCACACAAUGCUGGCUGAUACUGCCCUAUACGCCUCUCCCGUGAGGGCCAUUAGCAACUUUAAGUUUCCAUCAGCCAGAAACAUACCUGUCAUAAAAGCAGACUUUCCUGCAUCAUUCAUCCAAAAGGCUGCCAACAUUUGGACCGAGCCAGGGUAGCAUUUUUCAUUUAGUUGAAGCCAUAUUCAACAUUUUCUUGUUUUUCUGUGACUGAAGGUCAAAUCCUAAGGUAGGUGAUUUUAAAAAUAAAACCCUUGUGAAGGGAGCUGUUGAAAGGACACUUUACCAGAGUACUAGAUAAGCUAUGAUGAGAUCUCCUACCUAACCAGACUUAAAACUGGUAUUUGAAAAGAAAGGAUUGUGGACUAUGGAAAGGAAAGUACAUGGUGGCUGUUUCAGAAGUUAGGAGGCUAAGGAACUGGUAAACUUAGAAGACUUUGUAAGGGAGUAAGCUUUGUUUUUUCCAUCUCCAGAAACAUCUCCAUGUUUCUUAUUCUUCAAUUUGCCAUUAUUUGGGAUAAGGACCCAAAAUCUCUACUUUGUAUAUCCUCAUGCUUUAGAGACAUUAUUUCAUAACUAUUAUUAUUAUUAUAUUCUUAUAUAGCUGUUCUCUAAUAGGACAGGAACAGCUUUGGAAUCAGAAGACUUGAGUCUGCAUACCCAUUCUACUGCUUACUAUUUGUGUAGAAGUAGGUUGCCACAGCCAAGAAUUCAUCCCAAAGUGAUAACCUUGCUGGUGAUGAGCCACGUAGAGAUAAGAUAAGCAUCAAAAAAGAAGAAGAAGAACUAUACACAUUGAUGAGCUGCAGCAACCCAAUGGAAUACUGGCAUGGUUGACUAAGGCACCUAUGAAGUUGUUACUGAGGAGGAUUAAAACUAGAUGUCAUUAUUUUACCCACCCCUCACAAUUAUUGUGCCUUUUUUGCCCUCUGCCUCCUUCCAGAUAAAAGUGUCUUUAUGCUACAGAACAUUUUGAAUAACUUUUAUAUUAAGUUGUAUAUGAGCAUGUAGGAGAGGGGGUGAAGGGAGUAGGAGGUUACACCUUUUCUAGAAAAAUAUUCAUCGAGACCUUCUUGAGAGCCUACAUUUAUAAAAGUCAAUACCAGGCUUAACCCAAGGCCGCUGAUAAAAGGCUCGAGUUCCUUUGAAGCAGCCCAGCUUUACAAGGGCCAUCUGCUCUUGAGCACAAUGCUAUAUUGCAUAUUUCCAUCACACUAUCCUAAACACAUUUAAGUUGCUGACAGAUUAAUGCUCAACUCACUAGGGGUAUUCAUUCUUCAGUUCUUACACAUGCUCUUAUAAGGAAAUGGAACUCAGCUAGCACUUACUUAGGAUGCUGGGGAGAAUGUUGUUGCACUCCAGAUGGGGCUCUCACUUGGUCAUGGGGAUACGCUGCAGAGUUACCGUACAGGUUCUUACUAUCCCCAGUGCUGCCAUUGCCUUGGGAUAGAACCAGAACUUCUUCAGUCCUAUCUGCCUUUUUGUGGCCCCACUUAGGAUUUUCUUGGCAAAGAAACUAGAGUGGUUUGUCAUUUCCUUCUCCUGAUCAUAUUACAGUGAGGAAAUUUGAGGGAAAUAUGCUUAAGUGACUUGCUCAAGGUCACACAGCUAAUGAGUCUGAGGCCAGAUGUGAACUCAUAAAGAGGUCUUCAUGAUUCCAAGCCCAGUGCCCUAUCCACUGUGCCAUCUAGAUAUAGAGCACCUGGAAGAAAGUAAGCCAAAAUGCCCAACUGCCAAGGAGGAGAACCUGAAAUACUAAAGUUUCAGAUGGUUAAAAUGCCAAAAAAAAAAAAAAAUUAAAAAUAAAAAAAACUGGUGCAUCAAAUAUUGGUCUACAUCACAUUAAAACCUUUUGAUUAGACCUCCCAGAGAUGGAUAUUAGAUGAUUUAAGCCUGAUGAA